rnacentral:rRNA from 1 species
UACGUAGGGUCCGAGCGUUAAUCGGAAUUACUGGGCGUAAAGCGUGCGCAGGCGGUUUUGUAAGCCAGAUGUGAAAGCCCCGGGCUCAACCUGGGAAUGGCAUUUGGGACUGCAAGGCUGGAGUACGGCAGAGGGAGGUGGAAUUCCACGUGUAGCAGUGAAAUGACGUAGAGAUGUGGAGGAACACCGAUGGCGAACGGCAGCCUCCUGGGCUAGUACUGACGCUCAUGCACGAAAGCGUGGGGAGCAAACAGG